rnacentral:rRNA from 1 species
GACGAACCGAGCGAACGUUGUUCGGAAUCACUGGGCUUAAAGGGCGCGUAGGCGGGUGCUCAAGUCCGGGGUGAAAUCCUCCAGCUCAACUGGAGAACUGCCUCGGAUACUGGGUGCCUCGAGGGUGGUAGGGGUAUGCGGAACUAUCGGUGGAGCGGUGAAAUGCGUUGAUAUCGAUAGGAACUCCGGUGGCGAAGGCGGCAUACUGGACCACAUCUGACGCUGAGGCGCGAAAGCCAGAGGAGCAAACGGG